CCUACGGGAGGCUGCAGUGAGGAAUAUUGGUCAAUGGACGAGAGUCUGAACCAGCCAAGUAGCGUGAAGGAUGACUGCCCUAUGGGUUGUAAACUUCUUUUAUAUGGGAAUAAAAUGUUCCACGUGUGGGAUUUUGUAUGUACCAUAUGAAUAAGGAUCGGCUAACUCCGUGCCAGCAGCCGCGGUAAUACGGAGGAUCCGAGCGUUAUCCGGAUUUAUUGGGUUUAAAGGGAGCGUAGGUGGAUUGUUAAGUCAGUUGUGAAAGUUUGCGGCUCAACCGUAAAAGUGCAGUUGAAACUGGCAGUCUUGAGUACAGUAGAGUUGGGCGGAAUUCGUGGUGUAGCGGUGAAAUGCUUAGAUAUCACGAAGAACUCCGAUUGCGAAGGCAGUUCACUGGACUGCAACUGACACUGAGGCUCGAAAGUGUGGGUAUCAAACAGGAUUAGAUACCCUGGUAGUC
rnacentral:rRNA from 1 species